ACAUCCAGAGAAUUUAGCAGAGAUGCUUUAGUGCCUUCGGGAACUCUGAGACAGGUGCUGCAUGGCUGUCGUCAGCUCGUGUUGUGAAAUGUUGGGUUAAGUCCCGCAACGAGCGCAACCCUUAUCCUUUGUUGCCAGCACGUAAUGGUGGGAACUCAAGGGAGACUGCCGGUGAUAAACCGGAGGAAGGUGGGGAUGACGUCAAGUCAUCAUGGCCCUUACGAGUAGGGCUACACACGUGCUACAAUGGCGCAUACAAAGAGAAGCGACCUCGCGAGAGCAAGCGGACCUCAUAAAGUGCGUCGUAGUCCGGAUUGGAGUCUGCAACUCGACUCCAUGAAGUCGGAAUCGCUAGUAAUCGUAAAUCAGAAUGUUACGGUGAAUACGUUCCCGGGCCUUGUACACACCGCCCGUCACACCAUGGGAGUGGGUUGCAAAAGAAGUAGAUAGCUUAACCUUCGGGAGGGCGUUUACCACUUUGUGAUUCAUGACUGGGGUGAAGUCGUAACAAGGUAGGCGUAGUGCU
rnacentral:rRNA from 1 species